CCCCCCUCAACGUCGCCGUUUGGUUUGUCCCACCACGGCGCCACGUGAUGUGCCUCGGCCAAUCAGAGGCACGGCGCGGCCGCGCCGCCGCGGCGAUGGUUAAGCCACGACCUCGGACAGCGCGGGCCCCCCCACUCGCCCCGCGCCUCUCACCUCAGCCGCGCUCCCCGCCCAUGCGCCGCGCCACAACGCCAAGGCGAGCGCAGCCGCGGCGGCGUCAGAGCGAGACGGCGGCUCCCGUGCACUCGGGGAGUGAGGAAUCACAAAGGACCUGGGACUGGAACUGUGGACUCGCACGGCAAGAUGCGUGUACUGUGUUGAACUUCUUUCGCACCGUACGGAGCUCACCGUGCCGAUCGGAGGUGCGGGGAAGGACAACUAUGUGGCGGAAUAGAAGCGGGAGACUUACACCACCUCCGAAAGUGAUGCGGUGGAGACGUGUGCGGGAGCGACAUGGAUUGUGAUGUCUAAAUCCGACAUGCCUACUGCACGGGUCACAUUCACCUGCCAUUGCCCAUUAUCAUUGCUUACGGUGCUCGCAUUGUUUACCAUUCGUGUAAGCACCUAUUUUAAACCCUCAAUAUUCUAUACAUUUUCUAAUGGAACACAAUGCUUACACCAUUGGCCAUGAAUUGCCUUAUAAAGCAGUGAUCGUAUAUGUUCUGACCAUUGCUUCAAAUUGGGCUGAGAGUUCUGGUAAAAAAAUAUAACAGCAAUAUAUAGAUGCGUUACACAACACUGCAAGUUAACUGCCCAUGAUGUUGAGCCUGGUUAACUGUGGCUCUGCAAACUUGCAUAACGAGGCAUGCAGAAUGCUUUCUAAUAACUGCAGUGAUUGAUGCAAAGCUAAACACGUCCGUGUUUUCCAGACUCAAGUUUCUCUCCAUUAUUAAAAAUAGAUGCCAUACGAUAUUCUCUAGUCACUUGGCACACUACCAGCUAAGGAACCGUUAAAUAAAUCUGUCUCGCACCUCCCAGUUUCCACCUUGCAUGUCAAAUUGGAGCGUAUUUUAUCCGAUAACAUGCCUUCAGCCACUGGGGUUUAAGGCAGUUUUAGUUCCGUUUAAGACCUGCAAGUGUGGUGGUCUCAACUUAAAUGAGACCAUAAUUUAUGUUUAAAUAACACGACCCGAUUACCCAUAAAUAUAACGCUCUUAAUUCGGAAAAGUCUGAUAUCCGUUAUUUUGUAUUGGUAAAAUUAGUCCCACGUCGGUUAACAUCGUUGGCUUAAGCAGUAAACGUUGCAUAACUUUUGGGCCAUCUUCUGCAAUAAACCUGCGACGACUCAUUCAAAAUAAUUCAAUAACUUUUGUUAUAAGCAGCACGAGCAGUCAUCGACUUACGAACACAAUUAGUUUAUGGGGCCCGUUCUUAAGUUAAACGGAUCGUAAGCCAGAACAAAAAAUCUACUGUAUUUAAAUGCACAAACACUCGCUCCCAGUACGAGUGACUCAUUUACAUCUCGAGGAUCGCUCAGCUGAACAAAAUAGUGCAGCGGUUGAAUUUGCAAGUGAGAGUUCGUGUUUUAAUUCAAAGUUUAAAAAAUAUAUAUUCAUGGAAGCUGGUUCGUACGUGCGGGUGUUCGUAAAUCGAGGACUGCCUGUAUGUACAUCUUUAAGUAGAUUAAGCAAGUGAUCACCACGUAUAUACAUAUGCACUUCUGGGCAAAGUCCUGUACAUGUACACGACUGUGUUAUUUAUUAACAGACAAAAAACUAAACGUUAACACUUGAGAAUAUGCGGCUCUAAGGAAGGGAUAUUAAAACUUUGUACAUCAAAAACUAAAUGUUUAGGUGCCAUUGAUAAAAUAUGAACUAAAAGCAAUAAAAAAUAGGUAUUCAGCCAACAAUUUUCCAUUACGUAUAUCCACAACAAUAAAACAUGUUCAUUGGCCUAUUAGCAUUCUAGAAUUGCAUUACCCAGUUCGUCAGCAGUCAGACGUGCUAUCAAACAAUUACGACCAGUUUAUCAGAUGUUAUUUCCAAAAUGUACAUUCCUAUCGGCAAACAUGUGAACCGUGAACCAGUUUCUCUCUUGUGGGGAUCAUCACCUGACCAAGCGCUGAGGUCUAAUGCAAUAUUUUUUUAAACAAACUGUUUAGAAAGAUUCUAGAUUUGAAGCUUUCGUGACUGCAAGGAUCCAUACUCUUUGGUUCUAUUCGGUAAAGUGACUUUACCGAAUAGAACCAAAGAGUAUGUUUAGAAAGAGUGCAUCUACCAAUACCAUCUGGUAAACCAUCAACAUCCUAUUAACACACGGAACUGCUGCUGUCGAUGGCUAACGGGUCCACAAUUAACGUAUUUAAACAUGCUGCCGGUUAACGUAAAUAUGGAAGUCCAAUAUUUAGUCAGAUGUGGAAAUACAUAACGGAACACGAUUCAAUUACCGAGAAAACGCUGAGGUUCUAUACAAUAUGGUUUUCCACUACGGGUUCUCGUGAUACACGUUUUUACAUAAAACAUACAUACAUGCAUACACAGUACAUAUACAUGCAAGUAUUAAUAAGUGGUCCCAAUAAAAUAAACUUGCAGAAUAUAUUGAAA